UAAUAAAACAACACUUAAUUCAACUACAAAAUCAUGGAAAACUAACAUAAGUGUGAUAAACGUUCGAUAAUCUAAAGGAAUGACUAAAAUUUAUUCAGAAAAUGCUAAUUGGAAUGCAAAUAAUUCUACUACUAACAGCAGAUUAUUAGAAACUGUCUACCUCUUAAGAAAUAUUCACCUCUAAAGCAACUAGGCACCUAGCAACAGCUACAACUAGACCACAGACUACAAAAGAAAACCAAAACAUGAACAUCAGAGGAACUCGGGUACUGAUAAUGUGCUGAAAAGCACAACUCCCAACAGAAACCUUCCAUUUGCAUGGAGAACAACACAAUCCACUUCGCCGGCAACCAACAACAAUGCAGCUGCCGGACACUCAAAAAUUCAAGCCUUACCGGCACUGCACUUCCAACCCUUACCGGUGUCGUCCCCGACUGAAUUCACCUGUAUAAGUUCAACGGGCACAAAAGUGAAAUUGCCACUGAAGACGCCAUUGUAUAAGUUCAAAACUCAAAGUAUUAAGUAUGUUGGCAACUGACUUACAAUAAAUAUAUAUUCUUACAAUGAUA
rnacentral:lncRNA from 1 species